rnacentral:rRNA from 1 species
CAGCCGCCGCGGUAAUACGUAGGGCGCGAGCGUUAAUCGGAAUUACUGGGCGUAAAGUGAGCGCAGACGGUUAUUUAAGCAGGAUGUGAAAUCCCCGGGCUUAACCUGGGAACUGCGUUCUGAACUGGGUAGCUAGAGUGUGUCAGAGGGGGGUAGAAUUCCACGUGUAGCAGUGAAAUGCGUAGAGAUGUGGAGGAAUACCGAUGGCGAAGGCAGCCCCCUGGGAUAACACUGACGUUCAUGCUCGAAAGCGUGGGUAGCAAACAGGAUUAGAGACCCGCGUAGUCCCUGUCUCUUAUAC